rnacentral:rRNA from 1 species
UAAUACAUGCAAGUCGAGCGACCUUGCCUAGAUGAUUUUAGUGCUUGCACUAAAUGAAACUAGAUACAAGCGAGCGGCGGACGGGUGAGUAACACGUGGGUAACCUGCCCAAGAGACUGGGAUAACACCUGGAAACAGAUGCUAAUACCGGAUAACAACACUAGACGCAUGUCUAGAGUUUGAAAGAUGGUUCUGCUAUCACUCUUGGAUGGACCUGCGGUGCAUUAGCUAGUUGGUAAGGUAACGGCUUACCAAGGCAAUGAUGCAUAGCCGAGUUGAGAGACUGAUCGGCCACAUUGGGACUGAGACACGGCCCAAACUCCUACGGGAGGCAGCAGUAGGGAAUCUUCCACAAUGGACGAAAGUCUGAUGGAGCAACGCCGCGUGAGUGAAGAAGGGUUUCGGCUCGUAAAGCUCUGUUGGUAGUGAAGAAAGAUAGAGGUAGUAACUGGCCUUUAUUUGACGGUAAUUACUUAGAAAGUCACGGCUAACUACGUGCCAGCAGCCGCGGUAAUACGUAGGUGGCAAGCGUUGUCCGGAUUUAUUGGGCGUAAAGCGAGUGCAGGCGGUUCAAUAAGUCUGAUGUGAAAGCCUUCGGCUCAACCGGAGAAUUGCAUCAGAAACUGUUGAACUUGAGUGCAGAAGAGGAGAGUGGAACUCCAUGUGUAGCGGUGAAAUGCGUAGA